rnacentral:rRNA from 1 species
CAUCAGAUGUGCCAAGAUGGGAUUAGCUAGUAGGUGGGGUAACGGCUCACAUAUGCGACGAUCCCUAGCUGGUCUGAGAGGAUGACCAGACACACUGGAACUGAGACACGGUCCAGACUCCUACGGGAGGCAGCAGUGGGGAAUAUUGCAAAAUGGGCGCAAGCCUGAUGCAGCCAUGCCGCUUGUGUGAAGAAGGCCUUCGGGUUGUAAAGCACUUUCAGCGGGGAGGAAGGCGUUAAGGUUAAUAAC